UGGGGAAUAUUGCACAAUGGGCGAAAGCCUGAUGCAGCAACGCCGCGUGAGUGAUGAAGGCCUUCGGGUUGUAAAGCUCUGUCUUUUGGGACGAUAAUGACGGUACCAAAGGAGGAAGCCACGGCUAACUACGUGCCAGCAGCCGCGGUAAUACGUAGGGGGCAAGCGUUGUCCGGAUUUACUGGGUGUAAAGGGCGCGCAGGCGGGAUAGAAAGUCAGUGGUGAAAUCCUACAGCUUAACUGUAGAACUGCCUUUGAUACUUUUAUUCUUGAGUUCGGGAGAGAGAGACGGAAUUCCAGGUGUAGUGGUGAAAUACGUAGAUAUCUGGAAGAACACCAGUUGCGAAGGCGGUCUCUUGGUCCGACACUGACGCUGAGGCGCGAAAGCGUGGGGAGCAAACA
rnacentral:rRNA from 1 species